rnacentral:rRNA from 1 species
UACGGAGGGUGCAAGCGUUAUCCGGAUUCACUGGGUUUAAAGGGUGCGUAGGUGGGUUGGUAAGUCAGUGGUGAAAUCUCCGUGCUUAACAUGGAAACUGCCAUUGAUACUACUGGUCUUGAAUUUUCUGGAGGUAAGCGGAAUAUGUCAUGUAGCGGUGAAAUGCCUAGAUAUGACAUAGAACACCAAUUGCGAAGGCAGCUUACUACAGGGACAUUGACACUGAGGCACGAAAGCGUGGGGAUCAAACAGG